rnacentral:rRNA from 1 species
AGAGGGUGCGAGCGUUAAUCGGAUUUACUGGGCGUAAAGCGUGCGUAGGCGGCUUUUAAGUCGGAUGUGAAAUCCCCGAGCUUAACUUGGGAAUUGCAUUCGAUACUGGGAAGCUAGAGUAUGGGAGAGGAUGGUAGAAUUCCAGGUGUAGCGGUGAAAUGCGUAGAGAUCUGGAGGAAUACCGAUGGCGAAGGCAGCCAUCUGGCCUAAUACUGACGCUGAGGUACGAAAGCAUGGGGAGCAAACAGGAUUAGAUACCCUGGUAGUCCAUGCCGUAAACGAUGUCUACUAGCCGUUGGGGCCUUUGAGGCUUUAGUGGCGCACKAACGCGAUAAGUAGACCGCC